UCUCUCUCUCUCUCUCUCUCUCUCUCUAUCUCUCUCAUAUAUUUCCUUCUUAUUCUUCUCUCCCUCUCUCUUUCUUUCAAGAAUCCGAUUCAAAGUAGGCGUUGCCUUCUUCCCAAAGUGUACAAUGCCUUCUCUGCAACACAGAUGCACAGAUAUGAAAAUCCAUUCCAACACCGCCACUCUCCCUUUCCUCGUCCGCUGGUAACAAAAAUCAGCAAAAGAAAUUGAUAGCCAAACCAAAUAAAUGGACACUUAGCCAACACCAACGGUCAAAUAAAAAACAACCCAAUCACCCAUAAAAAUCAUCCAGUCUCCGAAUACCCAAACACUCUGAAUGCAUCCUUAAAUCCCAUUAACUCAAUCAAGAACAAGUAGGAGGCAAUGAAGAUGAAAACAUAUCUUGAUUCUGAUUAUAUGUUUAUUUACACAGACCAAUCAUUGGCAUUCACUCGAAAAUCCUGGUGGACGUGGGAUUGCAGACAAGAGUCUUAGGAGGAAGGAGCUGGGGAAGAUGUUGAUUGCCUUCUUCCUUU
rnacentral:lncRNA from 1 species